CAGGCUGGAGGAUGGCAUGAUCAAAUCAUGAUCGGAAUGCAAAUGCAAGAUGGGUCCUUGAAUUGGCCGGAGGUCUCUUCAGUGUUUUUGCACAAGAGAACCUUUCUGGCACAAAUAAUGGCUGCACCGUGCUCGAUAUAAGAAGUAAGAACUGCUAUCUUUGAUGGUUCAGUCAUAAACUCAUAAUUGCCGCCGGUGUUACCGUGUUAGUGUUACUGGUGUUGGAGGUCAAAAAUGCAAUUUUCUGCGGCUUUCAUGUGCUAAACAUCCUUGUCAGCUCAUGUCAAGGCGAUGAACAAGCACCAAGUUUGCGUGUGCGAGUUGCAGGCCCUGAUUCCCUCGCAUAGAGAUAGCGGACAGUUGUAUCAAUCUUUCACCAUGGAGUCAAUCAACUUGAUGUCAGAUCCUAUUUUCUUCGAUUCCAACAGCUUCCCGUAGCAGGAGUCGUAGCUAUUGCGCAUAUUCUCAGUUUUUUCGCUGCCACUGUAGUUCUGAUGAUGACGCUUAGUGAUCGAUCGAUGCUGCUGCCACUGUUGGUCCUCAUGCAGAUCUCGAAGUCUCGUGCGGCACAGGCCGACACCUUUGCUGAAUGUCACCGCUUCCUAGCAGGCUCUGCCAUAUAUUCCCCUGUUUCCCAAACUGGGUCAAGCUGGAGCAUGGCGACGCAACUUGGUGCAUGCACAACAGAUGGACCUUCCAGCUGUCUUUGGCAGGUCAGCUGGCAGAAUUGCAGCCGGUGUUACCAAUUCUCUUUGUCUUUGAUGGUCAACUCGCACCGUGGAGUUGAUCAAAUUGAUCCAACUGUGUCUUCCUGAAAUUCAACAGCUUCCAGUCCCAGAACAUGGCAUGAUUAAGCUCAUGAUACAAUUAAUGCAACGUAUUGCGGCGUAUUAGUUGGUUUUGUGCUCAAGGUUGUAUAUUAGCACGGAGCCAGCUGGAGGAAGGUAUAACCCACGGAAGUACCAGAGGAAUCUUGAUAUUUAGGAGGAGCUGGAGCAACUCUAAGAGAAGAGAACAAAACAUCCAGCCUUCCAGUGCUUGAGAAGGACACUGAAUGUUCUGAAGUGUGAACUGUGAUCACACUGAUAACCGCUGGGGAGAAGACGUGGAAAAUGCGUUCAGCUCUCCAAGUUCUCUGCUAGCUUGUGACCUCUAAUAUGGUGCAAGGUGACACUAAGAGGGAUCUCGACAUCUCUCCACUGUGAAUGGAUGAGGAACGCAUUGAUCUCUGGGCUUCGGUGUAAUGGAGGGUAGUAGCAAGCUGAACUGCUACUCAGAAGGAGUUCACAAUUUGCAAUUGUUGGCCCCGAUGAAAAAUCGCUUCUUACGGAACAGCAUGGAAUGGAAUGUCUCUGGUGGUCAACCUGAUGAGAAUAGCUGCAAUUUUUAAUACGGACAUACUUUGUUUUCUAGUACUCUGUUUUUUUCAGAGAUGUUUAGUUCCUCUAUGUUUGCUGCUGCCACUAUGCUUGUGCUUGUUUGUAAUCAAAGAAUUGGGAGUGCAUAUGUUGUUAUGCAAGUUCCGCAAAUUAAAGAACCUGUUCCAUUUCUCUC